rnacentral:rRNA from 1 species
UUCUAUGGCCAUACCCACCCUGAAGGCAUCUGAUCUUUUCUAAUCCUGGAAGUAAGCAGGGUUAUGCCUGGUUAGUACUUGGAUGGGAAACUGAGAAACAGAAUGGCUAGGAA